rnacentral:rRNA from 1 species
AGGACGAACGCUGGCGGCGUGCUUAACACAUGCAAGUCGAGCGGUAGGGCCCUUCGGGGUACACGAGCGGCGAACGGGUGAGUAACACGUGGGUGACCUGCCCCCUACUCUGGGAUAAGCCUGGGAAACUGGGUCUAAUACCGGAUAUGACCUGCUGUCGCAUGAUGGUGGGUGGAAAGUUUGUUCUUAAUUGGACACUUCGGUGGGGGAUGGGCCCGCGGCCUAUCAGCUUGUUGGUGGGGUGAUGGCCUACCAAGGCGACGACGGGUAGCCGGCCUGAGAGGGCGACCGGCCACACUGGGACUGAGACACGGCCCAGACUCCUACGGGAGGCAGCAGUGGGGAAUAUUGCGCAAUGGGCGGAAGCCUGACGCAGCGACGCCGCGUGGGGAUGACGGCCUUCGGGUUGUAACCUCUUUCGGCCCGACGAAGCGUGAGUGACGGUAGGGUAGAAGAGCACCGGCCAACUACGUGCCAGCAGCCAC